AAAAGAAAGACAAAAAGAAGAAAAAAGACAAACACAAGAAAAAGGAUGAUUCCGUUU
rnacentral:ribozyme from 1 species